AGCUAGUUUGUUUGUGUUUGUAAAACUUAUGUAAUCGGAUGAUAUUAUGUUUAAGUUAUCAAAAUGUAUCGCAAGCGAUAUCUAGAUACUGUGUGCUUGUCAACAUUUUGGACUGCGUCUUCACUUGGAUUUAAACUGGAACCAAAUUCCCACAUAAUCUAGUCCCAUAUUAUUUCCUAAAACUCAUCAUUAGUAUGUUUUAAAACAAAUGAAUAAUAAUAAAAAAUUAUCUACUCCCAUAUUAGCUUAUAAUAGCCGCAAACAAAAGCAAUCUACAAACUUCAGAUACAAAUUUCCACAUGCUGCUUCAAUAUGAAAAAUCAUCUAUUCCCCCAACCUGCUUAAAUACAAACUUCAGAUUAUUACAAACUUGAUAUUACUUCAAUGCUCUAUUGAGUCCCAAUAAUUUGUGAUGCUUGAGAAGUUAUGUUAUGAACUUGUGCCACUUGACAUUGUCUUUCGACCUAUUAUAUCUAUUCGAAACUGUGGAUUUCAAAGGUAUCUAUACAUGAUGCAUUUAAUAAAUAAAUCAAACUUGUAUCAAAUGAAUAUUGAAUCAAAAGGCAAGAGAAUGAUGAAGUGUUGAAACAUUUUUAUGACCCUUUGAUUUCUCUGAAUUCAUCUCCAAUGGACUUCUUUUUGAAGUUUUUCCGACACAACUUUACUUUUUCUAAAGUUUGGAUCCAUAAUGUUUCAGCUUUCAGCAUUGCCAAGUUCAUUCCCAUGUGUCCCAACAAUAUUACGUUUUGAUUUAACUAAUUCGUUUGCUUGGAAUUAGAUCCAUCCAAACAAAUAUUUAGACCAUUAUUUAUUUGUCACUACCAAGUCUACCAUUUUGUAAAAGCGACACACAACUACUCAUAUCUCAAUUGUUCGCCAAUACUAACCAAACCAUCGUACGUGGUAAGGACACAUAUAUGGCCUACUGACAUCUUGCCUCCAUAUCCUCAAAACAUACUUAUUGGGAGCAAUGAGACAUUGUUCUGGAUUAAAACUGAGAUUACGUGUUUGUAAUUGAUACCUCAAAACUCAAACAAAUGACAAUUGCACUCAAUCUCACAUAUGUCUCUCGAAAACAAACAGUAAAUUUUUUUCUUCAUUCCUUCAUUGAUAAUGAUAGUCUUAAGGACCUUAUACUUUGUUAGCCCACAAAAGUCUUCCACACAUAGUACUUCACAAUGAACUUUUCCUAUGAAUUGUUGUUGGAACUCCCUGAAUUUUGAUAUUAUCCAUAUUAUACUUCAUAGCACAGGAAACCAUUUGUGAGAAUGAUCUAUAAUCAACAUGAAAUUCCUUCUAAACUUUACUUCUCAACGCAUGCUUAUAUUGCUUUAUGAAAAGCUUUAAAAGAUACUUUUGAAUGCACAUAGCCAUUCAAACAAAGCAUUCAUGCUCUCAUCCCGUUGGAUGGUUGAGGUGCCUGCCUAAAUAUACAUUUCUAAUAGCAUGGCACCACUUCUCUCAUUAUAAAUUACAAUCAUCCACACAUGAACUUACAAUUCCUAAUGUUCAACCAUAUUCAACCAACCUUUUUCAAAAUCUUCGCAACUAAGUGUGGUCAUACACUAACCAAUGUAUAACAUAAAGUAUUGACCCUUUUUCUCUAAGAUAGCCAAACAUCUUAGGCAAUUUCUUUAGAAUAUGCCACGAGUACAAUCUAUUCCUAGUGUUGGGGAAAAUUAUUUCAAAAGUAUAUUGGACGGCCCAAUCUUGAUCUGUAAUAAUUCCAUUGGGAGCUUGACAUGAAUGCAUUCAAUCCAUGUCCAAAAUACUCGAACAAAUGUAUUUGUAUCUUCAUUUGAAACUGAACCACAUCCAAAUAGAGUUGACUAGCCAUGGUGAUUCAUCAUACAAAAGGAGCAAAAUGUAUAUCAUACUUGUUUGUCAAGUAUCUGGUGUCAAAAGUAAUAACAUCGUCGAAUUCUUUAUACACUUCACUACAUUGGUUAGUUGUCCAAAACAUACUUCUUGAGCGACACUCUUCAUCCAAGUUCAUACUGAAGUAAAAACCUACAUUACAUUCUUGCAUUUUCGAGAAAUAAGCUUGUAUUGUAGCAGCAUCCCCUUCCCCAAUCUUAAACUCCUCACUUUGUCAAUGAAAUUUAUGCAAUCUUUCUCAAUGAAUGUCAUAUAAUCAAAUCCAUCUGCUUCCACUACAGAUAAAUUAUAGCUUUUACGUACUGUUAUUCCUCUUAUAUCAUUCACUUCAAGCCGUC
rnacentral:lncRNA from 1 species